UCCGUAGGUGAACCUGCGGAAGGAUCAUUACAGAGUUCUUGCCCUUCGGGGUAGAUCUCCCACCCUUGCGUAUUAUAAUCAAUUGUUGCCUUGGCGGGCUGUAGCUCGCUACCCAGGUUUCGGCCUGGUUGCCCGCCAAAGGACCCUUAAACUCUGAAUAUUAGUGUCGUCUGAGUACUAUAUAAUAGUUAAAACUUUCAACAACGGAUCUCUUGGUUCUGGCAUCGAUGAAGAACGCAGCGAAAUGCGAUAAGUAAUGUGAAUUGCAGAAUUCAGUGAAUCAUCGAAUCUUUGAACGCACAUUGCGCCCCUUGGUAUUCCGAGGGGCAUGCCUGUUCGAGCGUCAUUAUGACCAAUCUAGCUUGGCUAGGUAUUGGGCUUCGCCGGUUGGCGGGCCUUAAAAUCAGUGGCGGUGCUCUCAGGCUCUACGCGUAAUAACUUUUCUCGCUAUAGAGUCCUGAGGGAUGCUGGCCAGCAACCUCAAUUUUCUUAGGUUGACCUCGGAUCAGGUAGGGAUACCCGCUGAACUUAAGCAUAUCAAUAAGCGGAGGA
rnacentral:rRNA from 1 species